GCGCUGGUGGUUCAGUGGUAGAAUUCUUACCUUCAAUGUAGGAGACCCGGGUUUGAUUCCUGGUCAAUGCA
rnacentral:tRNA from 1 species